rnacentral:lncRNA from 1 species
AUGGCAGUUCAUAAAUCUAGAUUCUUAUCAACCAUCAUGUUCCUUCUUUUCAUACUAGCUAUAGUGCUCCAUCUUUCAAGUUGUUGCAGGCACAUUUCAUGGGAGUUCAAGGAAGAGAUCAAGAAGCCAAGAACAAGAACCAGGUUCCCCUUUUCUUCAUUCCGACAUACUUUCAAUUCUGCUCAAAUCAAAGAAAACAAGGUCAGUGGAUUUCAUACUGUUUCCCAUACAGCUACUCCUGGUGGACCAAACCCACUUCAUAACUGAGUGAAACAAAAAUAAGCAUCAUCAAGAAGCCUCUCUAGGGAAAAACCAGAUCCAGAAGGGUGCCUUGUAUGCAAUUUUUCUUUCAUAUAUAUGUCUAAUAGAAAACGCAUAUUUUACAUGUAUAACUUAAAGUUGCUUGGUGAAGAACUUGUAAUGUAUUUGUCAAUAACCUAUAAGUUGAUUAAUUAUCUCACUAGCAAUAAUGUUCUUAUCAAUAUUUGCCAAAUUAUUGCUUUUAGAUUUUAGGUAAGAGAUUAUCUUUCCACUCCAAACUCCCUGGUUUACCAUGUGGUAGAAAAAGUGAUUAAAAAAGUUAUGUCAACCAAGUGAAUGAAUGAUUAAAUAAAGUUCUAAUAUGUUUCUUCAAGA